UCGUUCCUACGGGGCGCAGCAGUGAGGAAUAUUGGUCAAUGGGCGGAAGCCUGAACCAGCCAAGUCGCGUGAGGGAUUAAGGCCCUAUGGGUCGUAAACCUCUUUUGUCAGGGAGCAAGGUCGUCCACGUGUGGGCGUAUGGAGAGUACCUGAAGAAAAAGCAUCGGCUAACUCCGUGCCAGCAGCCGCGGUAAUACGGAGGAUGCGAGCGUUAUCCGGAUUUAUUGGGUUUAAAGGGUGCGUAGGCGGGACCUUAAGUCAGCGGUAAAAUUGUGGUGCUCAACGCCGCAGAGCCGUUGGAACUG
rnacentral:rRNA from 1 species